rnacentral:rRNA from 1 species
AUUGAACGCUGGCGGCAGGCCUAACACAUGCAAUUCGAACGAGUGGCGGACGGGUGAGUAAUUUUUGGGAAACUCCCUGAUGGAGGGGGUUAACUACUGGAAACGUUAGCUAAUACCGCAUACCAUCAAAUGUGCCCAUAUGGGAUUAGCUUGUUGGUGGGGUAACGGCUCACCAAGGCGACGAUCCCUAGCGGGUCUGAGAGGAUGACCAGCCACACUGGAACUGAGACACGGUCCAGACUCCUACGGGAGGCAGCAGUGGGGAAUAUUGCACAAUGGGCGCAAGCCUGAUGCAGCCAUGCCGCGUGUAUGAAGAAGGCCUUCGGGUUGUAAAGUACUUUCAGCGGGGAGGCGUUACCCGCAGAAGAAGCACCGGCUAACUCCGUGCCAGCCGCCGCGGUAAUAC